rfam:Ricinus communis ctg_1100012361560, whole genome shotgun sequence.
UGCAAUCUAUGAUGCAAUCCUCACUCAGUUGCUGAUAUUGAUGUGAUUAAUUUGUUAUAUAUUCACCAUCUUUCGACUGAGAUUGCG